GGGUUGUGAGGUUAAGCGACUAAGCGUACACGGUGGAUGCCCUGGCAGUCAGAGGCGAUGAAGGACGUGCUAAUCUGCGAUAAGCGUCGGUAAGGUGAUAUGAACCGUUAUAACCGGCGAUUUCCGAAUGGGGAAACCCAGUGUGAUUCGUCACACUAUCAUUAACUGAAUCCAUAGGUUAAUGAGGCGAACCGGGGGAACUGAAACAUCUAAGUACCCCGAGGAAAAGAAAUCAACCGAGAUUCCCCCAGUAGCGGCGAGCGAACGGGGAGCAGCCCAGAGCCUGAAUCAGUGUGUGUGUUAGUGGAAGCGUCUGGAAAGGCGUGCGAUACAGGGUGACAGCCCCGUACACAAAAAUGCACAUGCUGUGAGCUCGAUGAGUAGGGCGGGACACGUGGUAUCCUGUCUGAAUAUGGGGGGACCAUCCUCCAAGGCUAAAUACUCCUGACUGACCGAUAGUGAACCAGUACCGUGAGGGAAAGGCGAAAAGAACCCCGGCGAGGGGAGUGAAAAAGAACCUGAAACCGUGUACGUACAAGCAGUGGGAGCACAGAGCAAUCUGUGUGACUGCGUACCUUUUGUAUAAUGGGUCAGCGACUUAUAUUCUGUAGCAAGGUUAACCGAAUAGGGGAGCCGAAGGGAAACCGAGUCUUAACUGGGCGUUAAGUUGCAGGGUAUAGACCCGAAACCCGGUGAUCUAGCCAUGGGCAGGUUGAAGGUUGGGUAACACUAACUGGAGGACCGAACCGACUAAUGUUGAAAAAUUAGCGGAUGACUUGUGGCUGGGGGUGAAAGGCCAAUCAAACCGGGAGAUAGCUGGUUCUCCCCGAAAGCUAUUUAGGUAGCGCCUCGUGAAUUCAUCUCCGGGGGUAGAGCACUGUUUCGGCAAGGGGGUCAUCCCGACUUACCAACCCGAUGCAAACUGCGAAUACCGGAGAAUGUUAUCACGGGAGACACACGGCGGGUGCUAACGUCCGUCGUGAAGAGGGAAACAACCCAGACCGCCAGCUAAGGUCCCAAAGUCAUGGUUAAGUGGGAAACGAUGUGGGAAGGCCCAGACAGCCAGGAUGUUGGCUUAGAAGCAGCCAUCAUUUAAAGAAAGCGUAAUAGCUCACUGGUCGAGUCGGCCUGCGCGGAAGAUGUAACGGGGCUAAACCAUGCACCGAAGCUGCGGCAGCGACGCUUAUGCGUUGUUGGGUAGGGGAGCGUUCUGUAAGCCUGCGAAGGUGUGCUGUGAGGCAUGCUGGAGGUAUCAGAAGUGCGAAUGCUGACAUAAGUAACGAUAAAGCGGGUGAAAAGCCCGCUCGCCGGAAGACCAAGGGUUCCUGUCCAACGUUAAUCGGGGCAGGGUGAGUCGACCCCUAAGGCGAGGCCGAAAGGCGUAGUCGAUGGGAAACAGGUUAAUAUUCCUGUACUUGGUGUUACUGCGAAGGGGGGACGGAGAAGGCUAUGUUGGCCGGGCGACGGUUGUCCCGGUUUAAGCGUGUAGGCUGGUUUUCCAGGCAAAUCCGGAAAACUAAGGCUGAGGCGUGAUGACGAGGCACUACGGUGCUGAAGCAACAAAUGCCCUGCUUCCAGGAAAAGCCUCUAAGCAUCAGGUAACAUCAAAUCGUACCCCAAACCGACACAGGUGGUCAGGUAGAGAAUACCAAGGCGCUUGAGAGAACUCGGGUGAAGGAACUAGGCAAAAUGGUGCCGUAACUUCGGGAGAAGGCACGCUGAUAUGUAGGUGAAGCGACUUGCUCGUGGAGCUGAAAUCAGUCGAAGAUACCAGCUGGCUGCAACUGUUUAUUAAAAACACAGCACUGUGCAAACACGAAAGUGGACGUAUACGGUGUGACGCCUGCCCGGUGCCGGAAGGUUAAUUGAUGGGGUCAGCGCAAGCGAAGCUCUUGAUCGAAGCCCCGGUAAACGGCGGCCGUAACUAUAACGGUCCUAAGGUAGCGAAAUUCCUUGUCGGGUAAGUUCCGACCUGCACGAAUGGCGUAAUGAUGGCCAGGCUGUCUCCACCCGAGACUCAGUGAAAUUGAACUCGCUGUGAAGAUGCAGUGUACCCGCGGCAAGACGGAAAGACCCCGUGAACCUUUACUAUAGCUUGACACUGAACAUUGAGCCUUGAUGUGUAGGAUAGGUGGGAGGCUUUGAAGUGUGGACGCCAGUCUGCAUGGAGCCGACCUUGAAAUACCACCCUUUAAUGUUUGAUGUUCUAACGUUGACCCGUGAUCCGGGUUGCGGACAGUGUCUGGUGGGUAGUUUGACUGGGGCGGUCUCCUCCUAAAGAGUAACGGAGGAGCACGAAGGUUGGCUAAUCCUGGUCGGACAUCAGGAGGUUAGUGCAAUGGCAUAAGCCAGCUUGACUGCGAGCGUGACGGCGCGAGCAGGUGCGAAAGCAGGUCAUAGUGAUCCGGUGGUUCUGAAUGGAAGGGCCAUCGCUCAACGGAUAAAAGGUACUCCGGGGAUAACAGGCUGAUACCGCCCAAGAGUUCAUAUCGACGGCGGUGUUUGGCACCUCGAUGUCGGCUCAUCACAUCCUGGGGCUGAAGUAGGUCCCAAGGGUAUGGCUGUUCGCCAUUUAAAGUGGUACGCGAGCUGGGUUUAGAACGUCGUGAGACAGUUCGGUCCCUAUCUGCCGUGGGCGCUGGAGAACUGAGGGGGGCUGCUCCUAGUACGAGAGGACCGGAGUGGACGCAUCACUGGUGUUCGGGUUGUCAUGCCAAUGGCACUGCCCGGUAGCUAAAUGCGGAAGAGAUAAGUGCUGAAAGCAUCUAAGCACGAAACUUGCCCCGAGAUGAGUUCUCCCUGACUCCUUGAGAGUCCUGAAGGAACGUUGAAGACGACGACGUUGAUAGGCCGGGUGUGUAAGCGCAGCGAUGCGUUGAGCUAACCGGUACUAAUGAACCGUGAGGCUUAACCUUACAACGCCGAAGCUGUU
rnacentral:rRNA from 1 species